rnacentral:lncRNA from 1 species
GGAACUUGCCGAAAACUUAGGUGUGACUGAAGACAAAGUGCGGGUUUGGUUUAAGAAUAAAAGGGCUAGAUGUAGGCGACAUCAGAGGGAAUUAAUGCUCGCCAGUGAACUACGUGCUGACCCAGACGACUGUGUCUACAUCGUCGUGGACUAGCCCUAGAAUGCCAUCCUUCUUCAGGAGCUAGUUUGGAGAUGGGUUUUUCUGGUGCCACUGACACCUGGGCUGCCCAUGCCACUCAGGCUACCCUUAUCUCCUCUGAACUUAUGUUAUCA